rnacentral:rRNA from 1 species
UACGUAGGGGGCAAGCGUUGUUCGGAAUUACUGGGCGUAAAGCGCACGUAGGCGGACAUUUAAGUCAGGGGUGAAAUCCCGGGGCUCAACCCCGGAACUGCCUUUGAUACUGGGUGUCUGGAGUCCGGAAGAGGUGAGUGGAAUUCCGAGUGUAGAGGUGAAAUUCGUAGAUAUUCGGAGGAACACCAGUGGCGAAGGCGGCUCACUGGUCCGGUACUGACGCUGAGGUGCGAAAGCGUGGGGAGCAAACAGG